CCUACGGGGGGCAGCAGUGAGGAAUAUUGGUCAAUGGCCGGAAGGCUGAACCAGCCAAGCCGCGUGAAGGACGAAGGUGCCAAGCAUUGUAAACUUCUUUUGUCAAGGGACAAAAUCAGGCUCGAGAGCCUGACCGAGGGUACUUGAAGAAAAAGCAUCGGCUAACUCCGUGCCAGCAGCCGCGGUAAUACGGGGGAUGCGAGCGUUAUCCGGCUUUAUUGGGUUUAAAGGGUGCGUAGGCGGGCUGUUAAGUCAGCGGUAAAAGCCCGGGGCUCAACCCCGGCGAGCCGUUGAAACUGGCGGUCUUGAGAUGUCGAGAGGUAUGCGGAAUGCGCAGUGUAGCGGUGAAAUGCUUAGAUAUUGCGCAGAACUCCGAUUGCGAAGGCAGCAUACCGGCGGCGAUCUGACGCUGAGGCACGAAAGCGUGGGUAUCGAACAGGAUUAGAUACCCGGGUAGUC
rnacentral:rRNA from 1 species